CACCUCUCAGGGUCACACCUGGAGAGUUUCUAGUACUCUACCAGUCGCAACUAUGAGAGGGAGAGUUAAGCAGAGGCCUUCCAUUCCAUUCCUAGUUAGGGCAGCGGCUAGUGAGUGGAAGGCAGUCUGCUACAAGU